GCGAAGUGGCAAAGGCCGCCAUGUUAGGGGUGCUGGAAAGAUUCUGCGGAGCCGGCUGAGGUUUUAGGGAACGCGGGAGCCGAGUGGUGGUGCAGAGGGGACAGUGAGAAGGAGGACAAGUCGGUCGGUGAGCCUGGGUUCCGAACCUGGGCACCGGGGGAUGGAAGCGGCGUCUGGGGCCGAGUAGGACGUGUCCGGCUGGUGGCGGCAUGAGAGGCGAGUGGGUCUCUGCCUUACGGUUCUGCAGGGGCUGCGGAGGUCGCCAACGCCUCUUGCCCCAUGUUGUGACAACGGGAUUGAGGGAGUCAGUUUACUUUUGGGCUCAGAGCAUCAAAUUGAUCCGCUGACAGGAUAGUAAGGGGCGGUUGUGUUUUUCCUCGGGGAGUGGGGUGCGCUGCGGGGAUCCCGGGUGGCGACCCUCUAGCCUUUCGUCGCAGCCUUUAGCCUACGGAACUGGGCUGUCCCUCCCAGAUGUUGUUUUUUUUUUUUUUUUUUUAAUUGUUUUGUCAUUCUCCAACCUUCCUUACUCCUUUCCCAAGGUGUUGGACCCUCAUUGGUCUUUCAUGCAGAAAUGAUUUGCAAAAGGUUCCAAAGAUACCAGUGUUGAAAGGUAGCUAAGCUGUAAGGGAACGGCGCUUUGGCCCAGCAGUAAAGAAAACACAAAGUCCCUGUUUAAAAUGACAUCUUCAUACUUGCCUCCGAAGGCAGGGAGACGUUAAAAGGGAAUACUGAUGAUCGCCCUGUUGACGGCUGGAGAUCGGUUACUGAGUAAGAGGGUUCUUGAAUAAACCUAGAGUGAAUACUAAAAUUACUGUCCAGACGGGAUCUUCAGGACCAUGGACCACCAACUUAUUUUUAAAAUACAAUUAGUGUUUAAUUCGUAGAACUCUAUAUAUACCACUACUUUAGCAACUAAUUUGCUUUCAAACCAAGCUGAAACAAAAGUCAUUGGUCUUUCAAGUUGUUUUGCCCAAUAUCUCAAAUGAACUAUAUUUAUUUUUUCUCCAGUUGUGUUAUUAAAACAAUGCUGUGUGUUUGUUCUUUUUCAGAGUCUGUCUACACUAUGAAAAGAUGAGAAAUUUUCUUUCUUCCUGAGGGUGUCGGAAGGUCUAAAAAGGCUGAUAUAUUAGUGCUGUUUUUCUCCUUUCCUUUUGCAUAUUAUCCUGAAAACAUAACAUCACUUUGAGUCAGUAGGGGUAUGCACUUCACUUGUUUAGGAGUUAAAAUUAUAGCUGAUAAAUGGAUUAUUGUAUCAAGGAAAAACUAGGCAGAGUGAUUAUAAAUGACAAAAACAUGGUCAAAACAUUUCUCAGAUGUAUGCAGAUGAUAAUUACAAAAAAGUUUUAUAAAGAAUGAGCUUAUAUAUUGUCCUGUUUCUAGGAACAAGUCAGAUGAAUGGCUUUCAUUUUUAAACAGGGGUAGUAUGUGUUGGUCUCAGUUAUGCAUGGAGCUCAUGGAAUUAUUUGUUAUUCAGAAAUACCUUCUUUACAAGUAAUGUUGGAAAUGUUCAUCAGAAUCAUCUAUUUACUCCUAAACCAUGAUUUGGUGAAUUUGGCACAUAGGUGCUUAUAAAUGGAAUAGCCUGGGGACUUGUUUGAGUUACUCCACCUCCAUAAGGUAAAGUUCAGUAACCGUAACCCUUGACAUAAUCUAAAUGAUCUUUUCUUUUUCCACCUUUGAGCCAAAAUAAAACUCAGCUUUCCUCCUUCCUAUUCCUGUACCAUCAGACCAUUAAUACAGUAUUAAGCAGAAUCUUUCAUAGUUUCUUGGCAGUUGUCCACAUUGAACUGGAGAGCAUUUAUGCUAUUGACUCAGUGUUAGCAUACGUAGAGGCAUUUCCUAGUGAAUGUUUCAUAGUCUUUUAAGACAGAAAAAUUAUAGAAAACGUUAAUUUAAAUGUUAAACAUGCUGAAAUAAAGCAGUUGCCUAAGUGGU